UGCAGUGUGACCAAGAGAUAUUGUGAAAAACUGGGUUGCUGUUGAAUAGAACCAGGGCAUUUCUAGAGAGUUUUCAAGUAUCAGCAGGGAUGUCUGAUGAGAUGACCUAUUGAAGAAAUCACUUGCAAACCUGAGGGUCUGAUCGGCCUUUGGGUCAGUCCACUGAUAUUUUAAUCUUGAGCUAUGAAUCCAGAAGAGUUAUAUAUUGAUGCCAUUUUCUCCACAUUAACCCAUAUGCUUAGGGCAUGGCCUUCAUCACAAGUCCUUAUGGUAAAAAUUCAAUGAAAUGCAUGUCUGUUUUGUUCUUCAGAGUAAUUAGAACUAUAUAGGUCACAAUCCCCAUGGAUAGCUAAGAUACAACAAUGCAUCAUCCUUCCACUGCAGUGCCUUUUGAAGUCAGUAGUCAAGAUGCCUUUUGAUUCUGCCUUGUACAAUAGAUG